AGCCGCCGCGGUAAUACCAGCAGUUCAAGUUGCAUCCCUUUUUAUUGGGUCUAAAACAUCCGUAGCUUGGUGCUUAAGUCUCUUGUGAAAUCUCACGUCUCAAGCGUGACGAAGUGCAGGAGAUACUGGGUACCUAGAGAUCGGUAGACGUAAGAAGUACGCGACGGGUAACGGUCAAAUGUGUUAAUCCGUCGUGGACUAACGAUCAGCGAAGGCAUCUUACGAGGACGAAUCUGACAGUGAGGGAUGAAGGCCAGGGGCGCAAAACGGAUUAGAUACCCGUGUAGUCCUGGCAGUAAACACUGCUCACUAAACAUCGGGCCCUCUUCGGGAGGAUUCGGUGCUGAAGCGAAGGCGAAGAGUGAGCUACCUGGGAAGUAUAGUCGCAAGAUCGAAACUUAAAGGAAUUGGCGGGGAGACAUACAACGAGUGACGCGUGCGGUUUAAUCAGAUUUUACACCGUGAACCUCACUAGGAGCGACAGCAGGAUGAAGGUCAGUCUGAAGGGCUUACCUGACGCGCUGAGCGGAGAUACAAAGCCGACGUCAGCCUGUGCUGUGAAGUGACCUGUUAAAUCAGGUAACAGGCGAGACCCGCGUCAUUAAUUACUACAGAAAUGGGUACAUUAAUGAGAUUGCCUUGGUAACAAGGAUGAAAGUGCGGGCUACGUUAGGUGGCUUGUCCCUAAUCCCCUAGGCUACACGCGCGCGGCAAUGGUAUGUUCAAAUGGAUGCGACUCCGAAAGGAGAAGCUAUCCCCUAAAGCAUAUCUCAGUCCAGAUUGAGGAUUGCAACCCAUCCUCAUGACGAUGGAAUUCGUAGUAAUCGGAUAUUAGVAUUGUCCGGUGAAUAAGUCCCUGUCUCU
rnacentral:rRNA from 1 species